rnacentral:tRNA from 1 species
UGGGAUGUAGCUCAAUGAUAAGAGUUGCUUGACUAGGGUGAGGCCUUGGGUUCAAUUCCCAGCAUCCCAG